ACCCCAUGAUAUUAAGCCGGCAGACGCCCGUAUACCCCAUAAGCGUCUGUGACUUUGAUUGGGAACAGUAAAGGUGCUGAUGUGUGUAUGUUGGGCAGCGCUCUUUCCUGCGCACUCGACAAAGAAAUUUCAGACUACA
rnacentral:snoRNA from 15 species